ensembl:lncRNA
GCAUUCAUAGCAGGACAUUUAUCAUGGUCCCAACACUGAAGGUAUGUAUUCAAAUACAGGGUUGUGGGAACUGACACUACCUCUCUGCAGGGAGCUUGCUCUUGUGGUCUUUUUUAUUUGUAUUUCGGGUGACUGCUUAUAGCUAUUUGUUAUGCCAUAAACACAUUUCUUAAACCUGUCUUCAGAUUGCUUUGAUAUAUUAAGUAUUUAUGCUAGACAGUAAUAAAAAUAACUCUUUGGGGGGAAACUCCUCCAGAAAGCAGGCAAAGAGCCCUUCCUUUAAAAUCACAGCCAUUACAGUUCACAGCAUCGCAAUAUCUCAUAACUAGGCGGCAGUUUUUUGCUAUCCCAAUAGCUGCAUUCGUUACCUAAUGCUGCGUUCCAGACAGGUUUUUGAACCCGUAACUCAUGACUUCAAAUCAUGACUUUGUAGCGUUCCAGGCAAGUCAUGCCAAACAGCCUGAACGCAAGAAAUUGUAGCUAGAUUAUUAAUUUUAUUGCAACGUUAUAUUGUUUUAACGAAACAGCUGAUCUCCGGUCAGAACGCUUUGUCUCGUCAGCUUGAGGGUUUGAUGGAGAAGCAAGCUGCAAACACUGUUCUUCUCGAAGAUGCUAUCCAGCGUCUUUGUGCUCUUGAGCGAAAGUUUGACGAGCAAAGACCGCAAGAGGAACAAAGACCGCGGGAAGAGCCAUUACAUAAAAGGAUAAAGAGGGCGCACAACGUGGGCAUUGCGGAAGCUGUAAGGCGCCUUCACAAUUCGGAAAACAACCCACAUAAAUAUGAUCCACAAACUGGAAUAAGUUUGCCUCGUAACCAAGCAGUCAUGACUUAUCAGCUAGAGGAAUUGAAAUCAACUUUUGCAGAUGCAGACCCUGAGUGUAUACAAGCGUGUUGCAAGACAUACUUUGAAACACUUCGGAGAAAGUACAAUUUGUCUCAGCCAGAAAAGUCCCAGCUAAGAGAUGCCAUUAAAACAGGAGCUAAAAACCGACAAAGGAAAAGACGGUUGCUGGAUUCCAGGUCCAAGGUUGUUCAAACCGAUGCAGAGAGAGAGCUUUGGCAGACUGCAACAGUGGAGCUGAUGUCUGACGAGGAGGAUGCCAUUGUUGAUGGAAGGCCAGUGUGGAUUGUGAGGUCUCCAUCUCACAGGAACCCACAAUUGUCAGAACUUUGUGAGGAGCUUCAGCGCAGAUUGGAGGCAGACAUGCGCUACACUAUUUUGCAUCAUCAGCGUGUUAAGGCUGAUGGAAAUGGACAUGAUGGACCUUCCUUUCUUCAACUUUAACUAAACUGCACUGGUUUUGCAAUUUUAAUAAUUGCACCACAAACUGCACAUUUUCACUUAUUCUCUUCUAUUUUAUCUUAUUCUUUGUAUACUUAUUAGGUUAGAUUUAUUUAGUUUCAUAUUCUGCAACUUAUUUUCUUUUAAUAUUGUUUGUGUUUGCUGUGUUUGGUUACAUUUUAAAUACUUUGUGCUGUGUGUACAUAUUAAGUAGUUUAUUUAGUUUUAUAUUCUGUAACUGUUAUAAUAUUGCUUGUGUUUAGUAAAAUUUUAUAAAAGUACUUUGCUUUGUGUACAUAUUAUUUAGUUUUAUAUUCUCUAACUGUUAUAAUAUUGCUUGUGUUUAGUAAAAUUUUAUAAAAGUACUUUGCUUUGUGUACAUAUUAUUUCGUUUUAUAUUUUGUAACUGUUAUAAUAUUGCUUGUGUUUGGUUAAAUUUUAUAAAAGUACUUUUUCCCCUGUACAGUUCCUAUAGUUUUAUUUAUAUAUUUAAUGCUUUAUUUAUAUAUUUAAUGCUUUAAGUGUUUUGGUUUAAUUUUAAUAAAAAGAAAUUCUGAAUCCA